GUCAACCACCCGACGCCGAUCGAGCACGGGUACGGCGCGGGCUUGAAAAAGCCCGACAGUUGACCAGGCUAAGUCCUUUACAGACUCCGUUAUCGAGGUCACGACACCGAUAAGUUAGCCAGCUUGUUGCUCUGUCGUCGGUCGUUAAACAGCCCUACUCGGGUUAAGGCAGUGCGACCGACCUCACAAGCCUCGAUAACCUUGCCGAGGCAAACGUUAC
rfam:Leptolyngbya valderiana BDT 20041 contig00067, whole genome shotgun sequence.